UACGAAGGGGGCUAGCGUUGCUCGGAAUCACUGGGCGUAAAGGGUGCGUAGGCGGGUUCUUAAGUCGGAGGUGAAAUCCUGGAGCUCAACUCCAGAACUGCCUUCGAUACUGGCGAUCUUGGAGUCCGGGAGAGGUGAGUGGAACUCCGAGUGUAGAGGUGAAAUUCGUAGAUAUUCGGAAGAACACCAGUGGCGAAGGCGGCUCACUGGCCCGGUACUGACGCUGAGGUGCGAAAGCGUGGGGAGCAAACAGG
rnacentral:rRNA from 1 species